rnacentral:lncRNA from 1 species
UCCGAUGGCUUCCCCAUGGCCCUCCGGAUGAAGCAGACUCUUCUCAAUGACUGGAGAGUCCUCUAUUCUACCCCUCUGUCCUCCUUGGAGAUCCAUGCUCCAGGGAUCUGUUUUCUUUUGGAAACAAAACGAAUCGCCUCUCCCAUUUUGGUUUGCCAUUUCAAGAUGGUGGGAGUCAUCUAUCCAGCAAGUUUUCCAAGCAAGGAAAAAGAAGACCAGGACCUCACCAAGAACAUGCAGAAAACUCCACCUGAUGGUCUCAGAUCAGAACCAAUGUGAAGAUGUGGACACUCUCUCUUGGAAUCCAGCUCCCAUGGUGGGAGAAGGCCAAGUCACAUGAGGGAAAACUUACAUGCUCGGGUGACAAGCAGCUCAAGCUACCAGACAUGCAGUUGAACCCCUUGGAGGCUCAGAGAUGAUUUGGCUCUUUUCAACACCAUGCUGAGCAGAAGAAUCUCCAAGCUGCACUCAGUCAAACCACAGAAUCAUACACUAUGGGGGAGCAACAGAGAAAAUCUUUCAAAGCACCCAGCCAUGUUUAAGACGGCAAGUCUGCAGAUGAGUUGGAGGUUUUAGACACAGCCAAAGGGUCAAAGGCUGGGAAUCCUGUGGAUGUUUUAGUAAGUGCAGAGCAUCAGCCUCCCUCCCAUUGCAAUUGAAGAGAAAUUGCACCAGGAGCAGUGGGCUUGGUGGAAUGAAAUUUUCCCCACCCAAAUCUCAUCUUGAAUUGUAAGGCAAAUUGUAAUCCCCACGUGUUGGGAGAGGGAUCUCGUGGGAGGUGAUUAGAUCAUGGGGGUGGUUCCCCCAUGCUGUUCUCGUGAUAGUGAGUGAGUUCUCACAAGGCCUGAGAAGGGGCUUUUCCCCCUUCACUUGGCACUUCUCUCUCCUGCCACCAUGUGAAGAAGGACAUGUUUGCUUCCCCUUCUGCCUUCAUUGUAGGUUUUCUGAGGUCUUCCCAGCCAUGCAGAACUGUGAGUCAAUUACCUCUUUCCUUUAUAAUUUAACCAGUCUCAGGUAGUUCUUCAUAGCAGCAUGAAAACAAACUAAUACACAAAUUGUCCCUAACCUUAGCGGAGAGGCUAGAAGAGGUGACCCUAUCUUAAGCUGGGAGGUGUGAGGUAGAAUUAACUCCUUCAAGUCCUAUCUGUGAGGACCUCCUAAAUGAUUCCUCUUUUGUCUUUAAUGCUCCCAUUUUCACAUCAUAGACAGCAUUAUCCAACCCAAAAAUCCCCUCCCGUGCUCCUAAGCACAGCUGAGAAUAAACUCCCAACACCUCUCAGCAAGUCCUCCCUGCCCUAUAGGAUCUGGGCCUGGCCACUGACAAUGAUUCUCUGCUUGAUCAAACUUUAAUCAGGCUCCUGAACCUUCUUCUAGGCCAAUUGUGCACUUCUUUAUGGAAUCCAGUUUUAGCAAAGAAUCCUGCUAGUCACUUUAGCAAGAACCCUAUGCUCUGGAUAUCUGAUAACCUUCCAUAUCUGAUCAGGUCCCUCAUCCUCCACCAUCUCCAGGUGAUGUCUGAUCAUGCUGGUGUGCCUUCAGCAAGAAUCCUGUUAGGUGGAUUUAGGAGAAUCUCCCUUACCCCUGAUGUUUCCUUUCAGUAGUUUUCCAUCCACUAACCUCCCCACCCCUACUCUGCACCUUGGCUAUAAAUUCCAACUUUCCCAUUUAUAUUUGGAGUUAGCCCAAUCUCCCCCACUGCAAAAUCCCAUUGCAGUGGUCCCCAUCAAUGUGGUGGUCCUGAAUAAAGUUUGCUUUAUUAUGCUCUAACAAGUAUAACAACUGAAUCAUUGCUUUUCUUUAAUACUUUCUCUUAACUUCAUUUGCCCACUUCCUUCUCUGUUCAGGAUAUUCUGGCCAUGCUGGCUUCUUGUCAGUUGUUCAAAUGCCCCAAACUCUAAGGACUUAUCUCUGGCCAAGCCCAGAGUUGAAUCCUGAGUGUCCACAGGUCCCUGGCUCAGCCGUUCCCCUGCAAGUGUAGGAGCGGAAAGGAGGGCUGAUGGUAGCAAUAAUUCAUGUCAGGGAGGCUGUCCCCGGUGUGCGGCAAACCUGUGCUUGGUUCAUGGGCAGCCAGGGUGUGAUCGAUCACACACUUCACAGGGCACAUUUAUUUGGCUUAUUAAAAGAGUUAACUAGAUUUUCAGGGAAUAGAGGAGGCAGGAGAACAGGGCUACCUCUGGGGAGGGAAUAUGGUGGGCUAAGAGUAGAUUCCCACCCCUAUUCGUACUACAGAGAGGUGGCAAAUUCUUUUAAAGUCACAUAGACACAGAUAUGCAUGCAGGAUCUUACUAGCUGUGUGAUCUUGAGAGAACUGCUUAACCUCUCCAAGCCUCAGUGGUUCCUGCUGUAAAAUGGAAGUAUCAGGCC